rnacentral:rRNA from 1 species
AGUGAACGCUGGCGGUAGGCCUAACACAUGCAAGUCGAACGGCAGCACAGUAAGAGCUUGCUCUGACGGGUGGCGAGUGGCGGACGGGAGAGGAAUAUAUCGGAAUCUUCUCUUUCGUGGGGGAUAACGUAGGGAAACUUACUCUAAUAUCGCAUACGACCUACGGGUGAAAGCAGGGGAUCUUCUGACCUUGUGCGAUUGAACGCGCCGCUUUUGGGUUAGCUAGUUGGCGGGGUAAAUGCCCACCAUGGCGCCGAUCCGUAGCUGGUCUGAGAGGAUGAUCGGCGACACUGGAACUGAGACGCGGUCCAGAGGCCUACGGGAGGCAGCAGUGGGGAAUAGUGGGCAAUGGGCGGGAGCCUGAUCCAGCCGUACCGCGUGGGAUAAGAAGGCCUUCGGGUUGUAAAGCCCGUCUGUUGGGAAAGAAAAGCAGCAGGUUAAUACCACGCUGUUCUGACGGUACCCAAAGAAGAAGCACCGGCUAACUUCGUG